rnacentral:rRNA from 1 species
UGGGGAAUCUUGGACAAUGGGGGCAACCCUGAUCCAGCGAUGCCGCGUGUGUGAAGAAGGCCUGCGGGUUGUAAAGCACUUUUGUUAGGGAAGAAAGGUUGGGGUUAAUAGCCUUUAACUGUGACUGUACCUAAAGAAUAAGCACCGGCUAACUCUGUGCCAGCAGCCGCGGUAAUACAGAGGGUGCAAGCGUUAAUCGGAAUGACUGGGCGUAAAGGGCGAGUAGGCGGUUAUAUAGGUGUGGUGUGAAAGACACGGGCUUAACCUGUGGGUGUCACCGCAAACGGUAUGACUAGAGUGCAGUAGAGGGGAGUGGAAUUUCCGGAGGAGCGGUGAAAUGCGUAGAUCUCGGAAGGAACACCGGUGGCGAAGGCGACUCUCUGGACUGCAACUGACGCUGAGGCGCGAAGGCGUGGGGAGCAAACAGGAUUAGAUACCCCCGUAGUCC